UUUGUUGAUAUACAUGAAAAAUUAAAUCCUACAUUUUUCUAUGUACGUAUCAUUUGAAUACCAAAAAGAUGCUAUAUAGUAUUGGUGUUUAUAUGCUGCUCUUAUCUUAUACGUAACAAUUCCUAAACUUUUCAUUUAUUUGAUAUUUUUGGUGCUGUCUUCUUCACCUGUGCUUCUUUUCAUAAGUGAAGGGUUUUAUUAACAUCUAUAAAUACACAAUGAGCAAGCGAAAGAGUCGAGGUUCGGAAUGGAGUCCUCCAUCACCAGAAAGUGGCAAAUCAUCGUCACCCAAUUUACCGGAGUUAUUGUCGUCGUCUUCAUCUUCGUCUUCAAAAUCAUAUUCAUCGAAGAUGAUUGUUCCUGAGGUAACUUCAAUGGCGACUAAAGAAGAAGAUAAUGAGGAGGAGUAUGCAAAGGCAGUUACAAAAGAGAUGGUUCUUGUUGGUUGUCCUAAAUGCUACAUGUAUGUUAUGUCCUCAGAGGAUGAACCACAGUGCCCCAAGUGUAAGACUACUGUAUUUCUUGAUCUUUUCGGAGAUGAAGAUUGAUAGCAAUAAUUGAGAUGAAUCAGACUGUUUUAUGUUUUUAUUGAAAAUACAUGUAUGGUUACUCUA